rnacentral:tRNA from 1 species
GUACUCAUUUGGGAGUUGGCUCGCAUUCGUAAUGCGAAGGUCGUAGGUUCGAUUCCUGUUUUCGCACCA